GUAGUCCCAGCUACCGGCGCGCCAGCCCCCAAGCUUGUCGACCGACCAGUAGCGACCAGGCGGCGGUCCGAAGCGCUCAGCGUACGGGUAAGGGAAGUCGGCGAACCACCAGGGCUCCAGGCCGCCCAGCGACGCGCCGCCCAGGCUCUCCGAGUCCUCCGAGUCCGACGGCGACGGCUCGAGGUCGAGGGCCCCAGCUCACCGAGGAAGGCGGAUGGGGACACGGUGCCAUUGCUACGGGCCACCAUGACGCUGAUGCCUGUCUCCACGAAGGGCACGGAAAAGUCCACUAUCUCAGACCGCUCCUCGUUGAUAGUGAGGGAGCCGAUGGCCAUGUCUGCACGUUGGUAGAACACCUGGGUGGGGAGGGAAGGCACAGGAAACGACUCUGGACCCUUCAUCCUGGAGAGCUACCUCUUUGCCCGGCCCCGCCCACCCUCUCCCUGCCCCCAGACCCACUACCUUCAAGGCCCCGUCCCAAACCGUAACCCCGCCCCUUUGUCAAGCUCACUUUGCUGGCGGCCCCGCCCUCCUGAUGCCGCGUGUCCUCCUAUUGGCCAUGCCCUUCCGCUGUCGGUCCGCCCCCUCACCUCCCCAAUCAUGCCGUUCCAGACACCAUCUAUCUUCUUUCCGUGUUUGCCAUUUGUGACCAGGUAGAGGUCGUAGCUGAAGCCGAUCGUGUGUGCCAGUCUCUUCAGAAUGUCGAUGCAGAAGCCCUUGCAGCACCGCUUUUCUGGGCGGGGAGCGUCCUGUGGAGGGCUGCGGAAGCGACCAGCGUGGCCACCGUGAGAUGCUGCGUGUCAUCCACAGGCUGCAGGAAGCGGCCGUAGCGGGACCACAGCGGGUACUUGAGGCGGAGAGUCUGCUGUUCCCAGCUGCCCACCUUUAACAAAGAGAAGGGAACCAUCAGCUUCAUCCUCUUCCAGACACAGGAGCCUGGCCCUCAGUUUGGUUCUCCCAUCAGGACCCAGGGGUCCAGGCCUGGUCUCCUCCCUCAGACUUGGGGAUCCAGGCCUCCUCUUUUAGAUCUGGGGAUCCAGUCCUGCCUCCCCCACCCAAUCCAAGCCCUCCAACCUUCCUCUGUGAGGAUCCGGAAUCCAGCCCUCUCCUGUGCUUGGGGUCUGGACCCUGUGACUCACCACC